GACGAACGCUGGCGGCGUGCUUAACACAUGCAAGUCGAGCGGUAAGGCCCUUUCGGGGGUACACGAGCGGCGAACGGGUGAGUAACACGUGGGUGACCUGCCCUCAGCUCUGGGAUAAGCCUGGGAAACCGGGUCUAAUACCGGAUAUGACUCCAUGACGCAUGUUGUGGGGUGGAAAGCCUUGUGCGGCUGAGGAUGGGCCCGCGGCCUAUCAGCUUGUUGGUGGGGUGAUGGCCUACCAAGGCGACGACGGGUAGCCGGCCUGAGAGGGCGACCGGCCACACUGGGACUGAGACACGGCCCAGACUCCUACGGGAGGCAGCAGUGGGGAAUCUUGCGCAAUGGGCGAAAGCCUGACGCAGCGACGCCGCGUGGGGAUGACGGCC
rnacentral:rRNA from 1 species